GGUGAGGUGGGUGAGUGGCUGAAACCAUCAGUUUGCUAAACUGACGUACGGGUGACCGUAUCGGGGGUUCGAAUCCCCCUCUCACCG
rnacentral:tRNA from 1 species